rnacentral:rRNA from 1 species
GACGAACGCUGGCGGCGUGCCUAAUACAUGCAAGUUGAGCGCUGAAGGUUGGUACUUGUACCAACUGGAUGAGCAGCGAACGGGUGAGUAACGCGUGGGGAAUCUGCCUUUGAGCGGGGGACAACAUUUGGAAACGAAUGCUAAUACCGCAUAAAAACUUUAAACACAAGUUUUAAGUUUGAAAGAUGCAAUUGCAUCACUCAAAGAUGAUCCCGCGUUGUAUUAGCUAGUUGGUGAGGUAAAGGCGCACCAAGGCGAUGAUACAUAGCCGCCCUGAGAGGGUGAUCGGCCACGUUGGGACUGGGACACGACCCGAACCCCUGCGGGAGGCACCCGUAGGGAAUCUUCGGCAGUGGACGCAAGUCUGACCGUGCGACGCCGCGUGAGAGCAGAAGGGUGUCGUGUCGUGAAACUCUGUUGGUAGUUAGGAUCGUUGGUGAGAGUGGAAAGCGCAGAAAGUGACGGUAACUACCCAGAAAGGGACGGCUAACUACGUG